UACGAAGGGGGCUAGCGUUGCUCGGAAUUACUGGGCGUAAAGGGCGCGUAGGCGGAUCGUUAAGUCAGGUGUGAAAUCCCGGGGCUCAACCUCGGAACUGCCCUUGAUACUGGCGAUCUUGAGUAUGAGAGAGGUAUGUGGAACUCCGAGUGUAGAGGUGAAAUUCGUAGAUAUUCGGAAGAACACCAGGGGCGAAGGCGACAUACUGGCUCAUUACUGACGCUGAGGCGCGAAAGCGUGGGGAGCAAACAGG
rnacentral:rRNA from 1 species